CACGGAGUUAGCCGGUGCUUAUUCAUCUGGUACCGUCAAACCAUUUAGAAAAAUGGCAUUUCUUCCCAAAUAAAAGAAGUUUACAAUCCAGAGGACCUUCAUCCUCCACGCGGCAUGGCUGGGUCAGAGUUGCCUCCAUUGCCCAAUAUUCCUUACUGCUGCCUCCCGUAGGAGUCGGGCCCGUGUCUCAGUGCCCGUGUGACUGGUCGUGCUCUCACACCAGUUACUGAUCGAAGGCUUGGUGAGCCGUUACCUACACCAACUACCUAAUCAGCCGCACAGCCAUCUUCAAGCGAUAAAUCUUUAAUCACUAAGUGAUGCCACUCUAUGAUCCUAUGGGAUAUUACUCCAAGUUUCCCUGGGCUAUCUCCCACUCGAAGGAAGGUUCUGUACGUGUUCCGCACCCGUUUGCCGGUCGUCAGCAUCUGUAUUGCUACAGACCUGCUACCCCUCGACUUGCAUGUAUUAAGCCUGCCGCUAGCGUUCAU
rnacentral:rRNA from 1 species